CUUUCAUUCGAAUAAUUAAAGAACACAUUUAACAUGUCUAAAUAGUCAUCAAAGGUACCAGGAUUAUAAUUUUUAAAAUACGCCAGACGCGCGUUUCGUCUACAUUAAACUCACCAGUGACGCUCAGGUCAAAAUAGUUUGAAAGCCAAACAAGUACAAAGUUUAAGAGCAUUGAGUACCCACAGUUCAAAAGAAUUGUGCCAAAUACGGC
rnacentral:lncRNA from 1 species